UCUUGCUUCGGCCCGAAAUAUAUAAAAUUGGAACGAAACAGAGAAAAUUGCAAGGCCCCUGCGCAAAGGGGUGGCACGCCAAAUGUUUAAGGGGUUUUCCACAUUUUU